rnacentral:tRNA from 3 species
ACAUUAUUAAUAUAAAGAAAUAUGUUACUUUUCCAAAGUAAAAAUCUAUGGUAAAUAGAUAAUGUA